rnacentral:rRNA from 1 species
AUUGAACGCUGGCGGCAGGCCUAACACAUGCAAGUCGAGCGAGCGGCGGACGGGUGAGUACUGUCUGGGAACCUGCCUGAUGGAGGGGGAUAACUGCUGGAAACGGUAGCUAAUACCGCAUACCAUCAGAUGUGCCCAGAUGGGAGUAGCUAGUAGGUGGGGUAACGGCUCACCUAGUCGACGAUCCCUAGCUGGUCUGAGAGGAUGAACCGCCACACUGGAACUGAGACACGGGCCAGACUCCGACGGGAGGCAGCAGUGGGGAAUAUUGGACAAUGGGCGCAAGCCUGAUGCAGCCAUGCCGCGUGUGUGAAGAAGGCCUUCGGGUUGUAAAGCACUUUCAGCGGGGAGGCGUUACCCGCAGAAGAAGCACCGGCUAACUCCGUGCCAGCAGCCGCGGUAAUUC